UGCCAGACUCCUACGGGAGGCAGCAGUAGGGAAUUUUGCGCAAUGGGCGAAAGCCUGACGCAGCAACACCGCGUGAAUGUUAAGCCCUUCGGGGUGUAAAGUUCUGUCAGUAGGGAAGAACAAAUGACUGUACCUACAAAGGAAGCACCGGCUAACUCCGUGCCAGCAGCCGCGGUAAUACGGGGGGUGCAAGCGUUGUCCGGAAUCAUUGGGCGUAAAGCGUUCGUAGGCGGUAAAGUAAGUCAGAUGUUAAAGCCCGGGGCUCAACUCCGGUUCGGCAUUUGAUACUACUUAACUAGAAUGCGGUAGAGGUAAAGGGAAUUCCUGGUGUAGCGGUGAAAUGCGUAGAUAUCAGGAGGAACAUCGGUGGCGAAAGCGCUUUACUGGGCCGUUAUUGACGCUGAGGAACGAAAGCCGGGGGAGCAAAUGGGAUUAGAUACCCUCGUA
rnacentral:rRNA from 1 species